GGAGCAGCUUCUGGAGAGCUCGCUUAGGCGACACCGAAGGAUUCACAAUCUCAGGUAGAAGGACAGAAGACAACAA
rnacentral:ncRNA from 2 species